rnacentral:rRNA from 1 species
CUUUAGCAUAAUAAGUAUUAAAGGUCCCGCCUGCCCAGUGAAACAUUUAAACGGCCGCGGUAUUCUAACCGUGCAAAGGUAGCGUAAUCACUUGUCUUCUAAAUAAAGACCUGUAUGAACGGCUAAAUGAGGACAAGCCUGUCUCUUACAACCAAUCAGUGAAACUGAUCUGCCAGUACAAAAGCUAGCAUAAUUACAUAAGACGAGAAGACCCUGUGGAGCUUUAAACAAACCACUACCCUAACCCCUAGCCCUAGUGCACUGUUUUAAGUUGGGGCGACUUCGGAACAAAACAAAACUUCCGAGCAGAGAUCCACCACUCCCACCGAGGCCUACAAGCCAAAGUACAAAACUGACCCGGCCAUUGCCGACUAACGAACCAAGUUACCCCAGGGAUAACAGCGCUAUCUUCUUCAAGAGUCCAUAUCGACAAGAAGGUUUACGACCUCGAUGUUGGAUCAGGACACCCAAGUGGUGCAGCCGCUACUAAAGGUUCGUUUGUUCAACGAUUAACAGUCCUACGUGAUCUGAGUUCAGACCGGAGAAAUCCAGGUCGGUUUCUAUC